rnacentral:rRNA from 1 species
UAUUAAAGGCAACGCCUGCCCAGUGAAAAAUUAAACGGCCGCGGUAUCCUAACCGUGCAAAGGUAGCAUAAUCAUUUGUCUACUAAUUAUAGACCUGUAUGAAAGGCAAAAUGAGGGUCUAACUGUCUCUUAUAAUAAAUCAAUUAAACUGAUCUCCUAGUAAAAAAGCUAGGAUACUAACAUAAGACCAGAAGACCCUGUGAAGCUUAAACUAAACUAUUAACCCAAAUAAUAGCUACUUUCGGUUGGGGCGACCUUGGAAUAAAAAAGAACUUCCAAACCAAAUUACUAUAACUUAACCUAGGCCAACAAGCCAACUAACGACCCAGUAUAGCUGAUAAAUGAACCAAGUUACUCCAGGGAUAACAGCGCAAUCUUCUUCAAGAGCCCAUAUCAAAAAGAAGGUUUACGACCUCGAUGUUGGAUCAGGACAUCCUAAUGGUGCAGCCGCUAUUAAGGGCUCGUUUGUUCAACGAUU